AGAUUGAACGCUGGCGGCAGGCCUAACACAUGCAAGUCGAGCGGCAGCACGGGUACUUGUACCUGGCGGCGAGCGGCGGACGGGUGAGUAAUGCCUAGGAAUCUGCCUGGUAGUGGGGGAUAACGCUCGGAAACGGACGCUAAUACCGCAUACGUCCUACGGGAGAAAGCAGGGGACCUUCGGGCCUUGCGCUAUCAGAUGAGCCUAGGUCGGAUUAGCUAGUUGGUGAGGUAAUGGCUCACCAAGGCGACGAUCCGUAACUGGUCUGAGAGGAUGAUCAGUCACACUGGAACUGAGACACGGUCCAGACUCCGUACGGGAGGCAGCAGGUGGGAAUAUUGGACAAGUGGGACGAAAGCCUAGAUCCGAGCCAUCGGCCGCGGUGGUGUGGAAAGUAAGGUCUUACGGAUUUAGUAAAGCUAACGUUUUAAGUGGGAGGAAGGCUAAGUUUAACCUAAGUACGUUAUCUUAGUUUAGACGUUACCGA
rnacentral:rRNA from 1 species